UACGGGGGGGGCAAGCGUUGUUCGGAAUUACUGGGCGUAAAGCGCGCGUAGGCGGUUUGGAAAGUCAGGUGUGAAAGCCCCGGGCUCAACUUGGGAACUGCAUUUGAUACUGCCAGACUAGAGUACAGAAGAGGUGACUGGAAUUCCCAGUGUAGCGGUGAAAUGCGUAGAUAUCGGGAGGAACACCUGUGGCGAAAGCGGCGCACUGGACCAUAACUGACGCUGAGGCGCGAAAGCUAGGGGAGCAAACAGG
rnacentral:rRNA from 1 species